rnacentral:lncRNA from 1 species
UUGAUUACAAUGUGAAUGUCUACUGGUUGACUUGAAUACAGUGUGAAUUUUUACUGGUUGACUUGAUAACAGUGUGAAUGUUUACUGGUUGACUAAAUUAGUGUGAAUGUUUACUGGUUGAAUUGAUUACAGUGUGAAUGUUACCUGGUUGACUAAAUUACAGUGUGAAUGUUUACUGGUUGCCUUGAUUACAGUGUGCAUUUUUUCUGAUUGACUUGAUUACAGUGUGAAUGUUUACUGGUUGACUUAAUUUCAGUGUGAACGUUUACUGGUAGACUUGAAUACAGUGUGAAGGUUUACUGGUUGACUUGAUUACAGUGUGAAUAUUUACUGGUUGAAUUGAUUACAAUGUGAAUGUUUACUGGCUGACUUGAAUACAGUGUGAAUUUUUACUGGUUGACUUGAUAACAGUGUGAAUGUUUACUGGUUGACUAAAUUACAGUGUGAAUGUUUACUGGUUUUCUUGAUUACAGUGUGAAUGUUACCUGGUUGACUAAAUUAGUGUGAAUGUUUACUGGUUGCCUUGAUUACAGUGUGAAUUUUUUGUGGUUGACUUGAUUACAGUGUGAAUAUUUACUGGUUGACUUGAUUACAGUGUGAAUGUUUACUGGUUGAUUUGAUUACAGUGUGAAUGUUUACUGGUUGAAUUGAUUAUAGUGUGAAUGUUUUCUGGUUGAUUCUGUUACAAAGUCAAUGUUUACUGGUCCACUGAAUUAGUUAGUUGACUUGAACAGUGUGAAUGUUUACUCUUAGACUUGAUUACAGAGUGAAUGUUUACUGGUUGAUUUGAUUAGUGUGAAUGUUUACUGGUUGACGUGAUUAGUGUGAAUGUUUACUGGUUGACGUGAUUACAUUGCAAAUGUUUACUGAAACUUGAUUAGUGUGAAUGUUUAGUGAAUGACUAGAUUACAGUGUGAAUGUUUACUGGUCGACUCGAUUUCAUGUGAAUGUUUACUUGCCCAUUUGAUUACAGUGUGAACGUUCAGUGGACGACCUCAUUACAGUGUGAAUGUUUAGUGGUUAACAUAAUUUCAGAGUGAAUGACUUGAUUACAGUGUGAAUGUUUACUGGUUGACUCGAUUUCAUGUGAAUGUUUACUUGCCCACUUGAUUACAGUGUGAAUGUUUACUGGUUGACUCGAUUUCAUGUGAAUGUUUACUAGCCCACUUGAUUACAGUGUGAACAUUCAGUGGUUGACCUCAUUACAGUGUGAAUGUUUAGUGGUUAACAUAAUUUCAGUGUGAAUGACUUGAUUACAGUGUGAAUGUUUACUGGUUGACUCGAUUUCAUGUGAAUGUUUACUGGUUGCCUACUUGAUUACAGUGUGAACGUUCAGUGGUCGACCUCAUUACAGUGUGAAUGUUUAGUGGUUAACAUAAUUUCAGUGUGAAUGUAUACUGGUUGACUUAAUUUCAGUGUGAAUGAUUACAGUGUGAACGUUUACUUGUCGACUUGAAUACAGUGUGAAUGUUUACUGGUCGACUUGAAUACAGUGUGAAUAUUUACUGGUCGACUUGAAUACAGUGUGAAUGUUUACGGGUUGACUUGAAUACAAUGUGAAUGUUUACUGGUCGACUUGUUUACAGUGUGAAUGUUUACUGGUUGACUUGAUCACAGUGUGAAUGUUUACUGGUAGACUUGAAUACAGUGUGAAUGUUUACUGGUUGACUUGAAUACAGUGUGAAUGUUUACUGGUAGACUUGAAUACAGUGCGAAUGUUUAGUGGUCGACUUGAAUGCAGUGUGAAUGUUUACUGGUAGACUUGAAUACAGUGUGAAUGUUUACUGGUAGACUUGAAUACAGUGUGAAUGUUUAGUGGUUGACUUGAUGAUAGUGUUAAUGUUCACUGGUCUACUUGAAUACAGUGUGAAUGUUUACUGGUAGACUUGAAUACAGUGUGAAUGUUUAGUGGUCGACUUGAAUACAGUGUGAAUGUUUACUGGUAGACUUGAAUACAGUGUGAAUGUUUAGUGGUUGACUUGAUGAUAGUGUAAAUGUUUACUGGUCGACUUGAAUACAGUGUGAAUGUUUAAUGGUAGACUUGAAUACAGUGUGAAUGUUUAGUGGUUGACUUGAUUACAGUGGGAGUGUUUACCGGUCGACUUGAAUACAGUAUGAAUGUUUACUGGUUGACUUGAAUACAAUGUGAAUGUUUACUGGUUGCCUUGAUUACAGUGGGAGUGUUUACUGGUCGACUUGAAUACAGUGUGAAUGUUUACUGGUAGACUUGAAUACAGUGUGAAUGUUUACUGGUCGACUUGAAUACAGUGUGAAUGUUUACUGGUUGACUUGAAUUACAGUGUGAAUGUUUAGUGCGGUUGACUUGAUACAGUGGGGAGUGUUUACUGGUCGACUUGAAUACAGUGUGAAUGUUUACUGGUAGACUUGAAUACAGUGUGAAUGUUUAGUGGUUGACUUGAUUAGUGUAAAUGUCUUACUGUUGGUAUGACUUAUUGACUUUAUUCAUGACUAAAUGGCUAUGAUGACUUAUUGGGAGUAAUGUUACGAUUUAGGUAUAUUCUGUUGGUAUGACAUUGCGACUUUUUAGUUUUUUGGUUUGAAUUAAGUAUGUUGUAUUUUUAAAGUGGGUGUCCAUUACUAAUUGUAAUCUAUUGGUGGGAUUUAUUGGCUGUUCUUUUUCACUGUAUUCUGUUGGUAUAACUGAUUGAUUGUAUUCUGUUGAUAUGACUAUUUGAAUUUAUUUUGUUGGUAUGUCUUAUUGACAUUUUUGAGUUGGAAUGAAUUAUUGGCAGUGUCCUGUUGAUAUGAUUUAUCAACUGUGAUGAUCUGUGAUUGUUAAUAAAAUUUAUCAAAGGUAUAUCAGUGACUUAUUGAGCCUAUUCAUGAAUAACUGGCUAUUCCAUUGCUUGUUGCAACUUAUCGACUAUAUUCUAUUGACAUGACUCACUGAUAUAAUAUUUCGGUGGACAAUGUAUUCUGUUGGUUUGUGCGACUUAUUUUGACUGUAUUUUGUUUGUGGGUGUGACUUCUUGACUGUACUCUCUAUUCGUUUGGUGUAAAUAAUAAACUUACUCCAUUAUAACUGACCUAUUGACCUUAUUCUGUUAGCUAUUGUGACUCGACAAUAUUUAGCUGGUUUUCCUCGACUUGUAUACAGUUCUAUUGGGACUUGUUUACUGUAUUGUGAUUGUCAACUCUAUUCUAUCAUUGAUUAUAGCAUGUUGGUGGAUUUUAUUGACAAUUUCUGUUCAUCUGAACUAUUGAUUGCAUUCGGAUGAUUGGUUUGAUUUCUUUAGGGUAUUAUAUUGAUGAAUAUUGAUUGUAUUGUUUUGUUUAGAUUGUUGUUUACUUAACAUCCAGUUGGUUGGACUGACUUCAGUACUUGUUUUGUUGCUCAGAAUUAUCAAUGGUGUUCUGUUGGUUAGUGAGUUCUUGGCUGUAAUUUAUUGAUUGUAUUUUUGUUGGUAGGAUUGACUAUUUCUGUUAUGACUAAUUGACUAACUAUAAUUGACUGUAUGAUGUUGUUUAGUGAGACUUUUUGACUGCAUGUUCUUGGAAGGUGAAACUAAUUGACGUAUUCUGUUGGUCUGAGUGAUGGAAAGGCGGAAAAUCGAUUUACUGUCAGAGGAAAAUUAAAUGCAUAUUCAACACAAGAACAUGUCAAU